rnacentral:rRNA from 1 species
UGGGGAAUUUUGGACAAUGGGCGCAAGCCUGAUCCAGCCAUGCCGCGUGCGGGAAGAAGGCCUUCGGGUUGUAAACCGCUUUUGUCAGGGAAGAAAUCUUCUGAGUUAAUACCUCGGGAGGAUGACGGUACCUGAAGAAUAAGCACCGGCUAACUACGUGCCAGCAGCCGCGGUAAUACGUAGGGUGCAAGCGUUAAUCGGAAUUACUGGGCGUAAAGCGUGCGCAGGCGGUUUUGUAAGACAGAGGUGAAAUCCCCGGGCUCAACCUGGGAACUGCCCUUGUGACUGCAAGGCUUGAGUGCGGCAGAGGGGGAUGGAAUUCCGCGUGUAGCAGUGAAAUGCGUAGAUAUGCGGAGGAACACCGAUGGCGAAGGCAAUCCCCUGGGCCUGCACUGACGCUCAUGCACGAAAGCGUGGGGAGCAAACAGGAUUAGAUACCCUGGUAGUCCACGCCCUAAACGAUGUCAACUGGUUGUUGGGAAGGUUCCUUCUCAGUAACGUAGCUAACGCGUGAAGUUGACCGCCCGGGGAGUACGGCCGCAA